ACAUCAGAAGGAACAAACUCUGGACACGCCGCCUUUAAAAACUGUAACACUCACCUCGAGGGUCCACGGCUUCAUUUUUAAAGUCAGUGAGACCAAGAACCCACCAAUUCCGGACACAGUGUGAGGCCUAAGUAGCAGGGCAGGUGACGCUGGGCUUUGAGCAUGCUGAAAACAAAAUGGAAGGUACUCCAGUGGAGCCAUUUGGGCAGCAAUUGAGGGCAGGACUCCGUGCCCAAUGACUUAGAGGGCUGGGCUGCCCAUCAGCCAAAAGUCAACAGGCACAGCAGCGACUGCCGAAUAGCCCUCAGACCAAAGGAUCCUCACCGAAAUGGACAAUCUUCAGGAAAUGUCCACCAGCACCCAGAUGUUACCAGGAAAAGGAUGGGAUGAUUUUCUGCAGGGAUGACAGUGACAAAGUGAUGCUCGCGGCAAUAACCAGAGCCAUUGAAAGACAACCUGGAGCCAGACAGGGGCCAGCCAGGUACCUAGAGAGAGAAAAGAGAGCUUCUGGUUUGGCAAGGACUGCAGGAGUUCAUUUUGGGUGACCCGUUGUUUAUAUCCUGUAGACACAGGAUGAAUUACCUCCUAGGAACCUCCUUAGCCUCUGGAAAUAGGCUUUCAUCAUCUCAUCCUACCUGCCCACCAGACGUAACCAGAAGUGUCUAAAUCCCAGGAGUGGCCACAGUUCUGCCUCAGCUGUCUCCUUUCCAUAGCUACGGAAGCCCUUGCCUAUUUGGCAGUUGUUAGUACGCUCAUCACUAAGCGUGAUCACUAAAUGUGCCUCAGGAAGCUGGAAAACUGGGGGCUGCUCACCGCCAUGCGGUGCUGCUUCCGAAGCUGCUUCACCCGGAUCUGGUCCAUGUUGG